CAAGUCGAACGAGAAGGCGUAGCAAUACGCUUGUACAGUGGCGAACGGGUGAGGAAUACAUGGGUAACCUACCCUCGAGUGGGGGAUAACCCGCCGAAAGGCGGGCUAAUACCGCGUACGCUUCCGAUCUUGCGGGAUUGGAAGGAAAGCUGUCCCUUGGGGAUGGCGCUCAAGGAUGGGCUCAUGUCCUAUCAGCUUGUUGGUAGGGUAACGGCCUACCAAGGCAUCGACGGGUAGCUGGUCUGAGAGGACGAUCAGCCACACUGGCACUGCGACACGGGCCAGACUCCUACGGGAGGCAGCAGUGAGGAAUAUUGCGCAAUGGGCGAAAGCCUGACGCAGCGACGCCGCGUGGGGGAUGAAGGUCUUCGGAUUGUAAACCCCUUUCGGGAGGGAAGACGGCCUUAGACAACUAAGGCGGACGGUACCUCCAGAAGCAGCCACGGCUAACUUCGUGCCAGCAGCCGCGGUAAUACGAAGGUGGCAAGCGUUGUUCGGAUUUACUGGGCGUAAAGGGAGCGUAGGUGGUUAGGUAAGCCCUCCGGGAAAUCUUCAGGCUUAACCUGAAAAGGUCGGGGGGGACUGCCUGGCUAGAGGACGGGAGAGGAGCGCGGAAUUCCCGGUGUAGCGGUGAAAUGCGUAGAGAUCGGGAGGAAGGCCGGUGGCGAAGGCGGCGCUCUGGAACGUUUCUGACACUGAGGCUCGAAAGCGUGGGGAGCAAACAGGAUUAGAUACCCUGGUAGUCCACGCCCUAAACUAUGGACACUAAGUGCCGGCGGGUUACCGUCGGUGCCGCAGCUAACGCAUUAAGUGUCCCGCCUGGGGAGUACGGCCCCAAGGUUGAAACUCAAAGGAAUUGACGGGGGCCCGCACAAGCGGUGGAGCAUGUGGUUUAAUUCCACGCAACGCGAA
rnacentral:rRNA from 1 species